rnacentral:lncRNA from 1 species
GCUCCCUCCUCAUUUUGAUGUGGCUAAUCGUGGCUGGAAUGACUCAUGCUCAUAUGUGCAAGCAGGGCUGGGAACCAUCGGAUCUCCCUCUGAAUUUCUAGAACUCCGUGUUCCUGCUUGUUCCAACAAUAACAAAGGAAAAGGCCUUUCUUUGGUGGCAUUUUGGCUUUCUGCUGCAGUGAAUCAUGGAGAGGGAAUUGAAAUCUGUGUGUUUGGGAAAAAAUACCUAGAACUGUAUGGGUGCACAGAUGCUUCCACCUGGCUGACCUAUCAACUGAGAGCUCUGAUGUGAUUCUAGUGAGAAGCCUUUCCCAAGAUGACUCCAAACGUGGAGAGGACAGCAGAGUGCUGUACUGGAGAGGACAGGGGGGCUGUACUGGAGAGGUAAGUGCUCGAGCCAAUACCUGUUCUCUGGGGAAGUUAAUGCAGCAUCCUCCCUCCAUCCUCUCCCCAAAGCUUUGGUUUCUCUAAAACAUCAAGAGAUAUUUUUGGUGUUGUUUUCAAUUUUGAUGUGACUGCUGACCUAUAAAAGAGAAGGACCAACUAUGACUGUAAAUCCAUGACCGUUUUUUGUUAGCUUCAGCCUGAUUCAGAUAUCACACCAUGAGGUGUAUAUCAGAACUGAGUUAUUAUAGAGGGAACAAAGAGGUUCCCUUAGGUCUAGAUUUUCCUGCUGCGUGCUGAAGUGCCAUCAGUGCUCCUUUCCAGGAGGGCAGGAAUUCUCCAGGGCAUUAACUGUUUUCUGCGUGAGUUGGAUGCAUUUGCCAAAACUUGUUUUGUUUCAACAUGCUGGUUCAUGAAAUCGAGUGCAGAAGGACAGUGCCUUUCCUCUCC